UGCGUAGGCGGCUUCUUAAGUCUGGUGUGAAAGCCCAGGGCUCAGCUCUGGAAGUGCACUAGAAACUGAGGAGCUUGAGUACCGGAGGGGAGAGUGGAAUUCCUGGUGUAGCGGUGAAAUGCGUAGAUAUCAGGAGGAAUACCGGUGGCGAAAGCGACUCUCUGGACGGUUACUGACGCUGAGGCACGAAAGCGUGGGGAGCAAACA
rnacentral:rRNA from 1 species